rnacentral:rRNA from 1 species
GACGAACGCUGGCGGCGUGCUUAACACAUGCAAGUCGAACGGAAAGGCCCUGCUUUUGUGGGGUGCUCGAGUGGCGAACGGGUGAGUAACACGUGAGUAACCUGCCCUGGACUUUGGGAUAACUUCAGGAAACUGGGGCUAAUACCGGAUAGGAGCUCCUGCUGCAUGGUGGGGGUUGGAAAGUUUAGGCGGUUGGGGAUGGACUCGCGGCUUAUCAGCUUGUUGGUGGGGUAGUGGCUUACCAAGGCUUUGACGGGUAGCCGGCCCGAGAGGGUGACCGGCGACAUUGGGACUGAGGUACGGCCCAGACUCCAACGGGAGGCAGCAGUGGAGAGUAUUGCACAAUGGGCGGAAGCCUGAUGCAGCGACGCCGCGUGCGGGAUGACCGCCUUCGGGUUGUAAACCGCUUUCGCCUGUGACGAAGCGUGAGUGACGGUAAUGGGUAAAGAAGCACCGGCUAACUACGUG